AGGGCCGCGGCCGAGCCGGCCAAACUCAAGUUGGUUCAGGGAAUUGUCAACAAAGGGACGAGAGACGCGCAACUCCGCUCCGCACUGUGCGCCAGCAUCCCCGGGGCACGGAGGGCGCUGCGGCCCGCCCGGAGACCCCCCCACCCAGGCUGGAUCCGGGCCCUGGGGCCCAGGGAGCGGGUGUGGACAAAUCCUCCAAGAUUUAACUUCCAAGAAAACCGGCGGCGGAGCGGGUGGAGGAGGCGAGGAUGUGUGGCCAAUGCACGCGGAGUGCAAGGCCGCCUAGUUGGGAGCCGCAAGAGCCUGCCUGGUGUGGCAGGCACACGGAACCCAAUCCCUGUCUGUCCGCUGCGGCCUGGGAGGGGAGCGCCGGCCUCACCAGAGGAAGGAGCACGAGGGGAGGAGUUCCGAGAGGAAAUAAUUAGUGAAAUAUUUGCAGAAGAUGCUGGGAUGUGGAUUUAAUUCCGGAUGGACAGUGGUGCUUCUGAUUCCCUCAGUCUGUUUCCCCACCCACGAUCUCCUCUUUCCUUGGCCUAGACACACCAAAAAUAAUUCAAUAAAAUAAAAAUAAAAAUUUAAAAAUCUGUAAA
rnacentral:lncRNA from 1 species